rnacentral:rRNA from 1 species
AGAGUUUGAUCCUGGCUCAGGAUGAACGCUGGCGGCGUGCUUAACACAUGCAAGUCGAACGGAGUGUCAUUUCUUCGGAUAGGACACUUAGUGGCGGACGGGUGAGUAACGCGUGGGUAACCUGCCUCACACAGGGGGAUAGCAGUUGGAAACGACUGAUAAUACCGCAUAAGCGCACAGUAUCGCAUGGUACAGUGUGAAAAACUCCGGUGGUGUGAGAUGGACCCGCGUCUGAUUAGCUUGUUGGUGAGGUAACGGCCCACCAAGGCGACGAUCAGUAGCCGGCCUGAGAGGGUGAACGGCCACAUUGGGACUGAGACACGGCCCAAACUCCUACGGGAGGCAGCAGUGGGGAAUAUUGCACAAUGGGGGAAACCCUGAUGCAGCGACGCCGCGUGAAGGAUGAAGUAUCUCGGUAUGUAAACUUCUAUCAGCAGGGAAGAUAGUGACGGUACCUGACUAAGAAGCCCCGGCUAACUACGUGCCAGCAGCCGCGGUAAUACGUAGGGGGCAAGCGUUAUCCGGAUUUACUGGGUGUAAAGGGAGCGUAGGCGGCGCGUCAAGUCAGAAGUGAAAGCCCGGGGCUCAACUCCGGGACUGCUUUUGAAACUGUCGUGCUUGAUUUCAGGAGAGGUAAGCGGAAUUCCUAGUGUAGCGGUGAAAUGCGUAGAUAUUAGGAGGAACACCGGUGGCGAAGGCGGCUUACUGGACGAUUACUGACGUUGAGGCUCGAAAGCGUGGGGAGCAAACAGGAUUAGAUACCCUGGUAGUCCACGCUGUAAACGAUGAAUACUAGGUGUGGGCAUGCAAGGCAUGUCCGUGCCGCAGCUAACGCAAUAAGUAUUCCACCUGGGGGAGUACGUUUCGCAGAAUGAAACUCAAAGGAAUUGACGGGGACCCGCACAAGCGGUGGAGCAUGUGGCUUAUUUGGGCAGCAACGCGAAGAAACCUUGCCAGGCCUUGACAUCCCGAUGACCGGCCCUCAACCGGGCGUUCUUUUCGGAGCAUCGCAGACAGCCGGCGCAUGCUUGUCGUCAGCUCGUGUGGUGAGAUGUUGGGUUCAGUCCCGCAACGAGCGCACCCCCUAUGAUUAGUUGUUACGCAAGAGCACUCUAAUCAGACUGCCGUUGCCAAAACGGAGGAAGGUGGGGAGGACGUCAAAUCAUCAUGCCCCUUAUGACCUGGGCUACACACGUACUACAAUGGUCGUUAACAGAGGGAAGCAAGACCGCGAGGUGGAGCAAACCCCUAAAAACGGUCCCAGUUCAGAUUGCAGGCUGCAACUCGCCUGUAUGAAGUCGGAAUUGCUAGUAAUCGCGGAUCAGCAUGCCGCGGUGAAUACGUAAAGGGGCCUUGCACACACCGCCCGUCA